AGUGAACGCUGGCGGUAGGCCUAACACAUGCAAGUCGAACGGCAGCACAGUAAGAGCUUGCUCUUACGGGUGGCGAGUGGCGGACGGGUGAGGAAUACAUCGGAAUCUACUUUUUCGUGGGGGAUAACGUAGGGAAACUUACGCUAAUACCGCAUACGACCUACGGGUGAAAUCCGGGGAUCUUCGGACCUUGCGCGAUUGAAUGAGCCGAUGUCGGAUUAGCUAGUUGGCGGGGUAAAGGCCCACCAAGGCGACGAUCCGUAGCUGGUCUGAGAGGAUGAGCAGACACACUGGAAAUGAGACACGGUCCAGACUACUACGGGAGGCAGCAGUGGGGAAUAUUGGACAAUGGGCGCAAGCCUGAUCCAGCCAUACCGCGUGGGUGAAGAAGGCCUUCGGGUUGUAAAGCCCUUUUGUUGGGAAAGAAAAGCAGCAGGUUAAUACCCCGCUGUUCUGACGGUACCCAAAGAGUAAGCACCGGCUAACUUCGUG
rnacentral:rRNA from 1 species